UUUUUUAAAAACAAAUUAUUUCUUCUUAUCCUCUCAAAAAUCUUCUCUUCUCUCACAUGAUAGAAACCUUAGCUGCUCCCUACUUCCAAGUCGCAACCAACUACUCUUAUGCCUUCUUCGGCCUUUAAUACCAUUGUUGAAAGAAAAUCCUUUCUCUCCUAUCUUUUUUUUUCGCUAGUCUAGAUUUCUCAAAACACACACACACACACACGAAUAUCUAGACAAAGCUUCAAACUUCCCAAGCCUAGAUAUCCUCUACAAUUCGUCUUAUCGGUUCUGGUUUCGAGCUAUGUCGCUCCUAACAUUAGUGAUCAACUUCUGACUUUUCCAAUACUCAAUUUGACGCUUGAAGCUCGCCAAACCGAACUUUGGUUGACAGCUUAAGUGCUUUUAGAAAAAAGAAAUAAAGAAAGAGAAAGCAAAGAGAAAAAAAAAAAAAAAAAAGAGCAUUUGAUGGCCUUAGAGAGUGGAGAAGCAACUACGGCGGUAACAGCUCCAGUAAAAAGUGUAGGUGGCAAAAACUUAAAAAAAAAAAAAUGGGGCUAAGUUUCAUUUAGGGAUUUUGAAGGAAAAAAACAAAAAGGGGAGAAAAGAAGAUUAUAAGUAGUGGCUUUAUGUCGACCAAACAAUCACACUGGAGCUUAGAUAGAGGUGUCAGGUGUGGACUAGGGUUUGCAAGGGUUUGGUUAGAAGAAGCGGAGGAAGGGAGAGAGAGAGUAGAAAAUGAAAAAUGGAAAAAUAAACAAAGAAAUGGAUCGAAGGAAAAAAGACAUGAGAGGGAGGGAGAAGAAAAGAAUAAAUGAGAAAAAUAUAUAAAAUACAUAAAGAAAUAAGUGGUGGGGGC
rnacentral:lncRNA from 1 species